UACGUAGGGGACGGGCGUUGUCCGGAAUUACUGGGCGUAAAGGGCGCGCAGGCUGUAGAUCAAGUCAGCUGUGAAAUGUCUGGGCUUAACCCGGGCAUGCGGUUGAAACUGAUGUACUGGAGUGCUGUAGAGGCAAGUGGAAUUCCCAGUGUAGCGGUGAAAUGCGUAGAUAUUGGGAGGAACACCGGUGGCGAAGGCGACUUGCUGGGCAGCAACUGACGCUGAGGCGCGAAAGCCAGGGGAGCAAAUGGGAUUAGAUA
rnacentral:rRNA from 1 species